rnacentral:rRNA from 1 species
AACGAACGCUGGCGGCAGGCCUAACACAUGCAAGUCGAACGCUCGUAGCAAUACGAGAGUGGCAGACGGGUGAGUAACACGUGGGAACCUUCCCUAUGGUUCGGAAUAGCCCUGGGAAACUUGGGGUAAUACCGGAUAAGCCCUUACGGGGAAAGAUUUAUCGCCAUCGGAUGGGCCCGCGUCGGAUUAGCUAGUUGGUGGGGUAACGCCUCACCAAGGCGACGAUCCGUAGCUGGUCUGAGAGGAUGAUCAGCCACACUGGGACUGAGACACGGCCCAGACUCCUACGGGAGGCAGCAGUGGGGAAUAUUGGACAAUGGGCGCAAGCCUGAUCCAGCCAUGCCGCGUGAGUGACGAAGGCCUUAGGGUUGUAAAGCUCUUUUGGCGGGGAAGAUAAUGACGGUACCCGCAGAAUAAGCUCCGGCUAACCUCGUGCCAGCCGCCGCCGUAACAC